AAUUAAAUCAUCGCUGCCAGAUUAUAAUGAGAUGUGUACGGUAAUUAUUUAGCAUGAAGAACGUAUAGUCCUUUUAUGUGCGUCUAUUAACAGCUGCUUAAUGAACAGCCAAUAUAAUUCCGGGGGACGUAAUUAUUAGGAUAUGAUGAUGAUUAUACAUCAGUUAGGGUACUGACAUAGGUCACGUUGGAGUAGGGUUGCACGUUGGAGUAGGGUUGUACUGUGGUUAUGGUACUGACAUAGGUCACGUUGGAGUAGGGUUGAACUGUGGUUAUGGUACUGACAUAGGUUACGUUGGAGUAGGGUUGUACUGUGGUUAUGGUGCUGACAUAGGUUACGUUGGAGUAGGGUUGAACUGUGGUUAUGGUACUGACAUAGGUUACGUUGGAGUCACGUUGGAGUAGGGUUGUACUGUGGUUAUAGUACUGACACAGGUCACAUUGGAGUAGGGUUGUACUGUGGUUAUAGUACUGACACAGGUCACAUUGGAGUAGGGUUGUACUGUGGUUAUAGUACUGACAUAGGUCACAUUGGAGUAGGGUUGUACUGUGGUUAUAGUACUGACACAGGUCACGUUGGAGUAGGGUUGUACUGUGGUUAUAGUACUGACAUAGGUCACGUUGGAGUAGGGUUGUACUGUGGUUAUAGUACUGACACAGGUCACGUUGGAGUAGGGUUGUACUGUGGUUAUAGUACUGACACAGGUCACGUUGGAGUAGGGUUGUACUGUGGUUAUAGUACUGAUGUAGGUCACGUUGGAGUAGGGUUCUACUGUGGUUAUGGUACUGAUGUAGGUCACGUUGGAGUAGGGUUGUACUGUGUUUAUGGUACUGACACAGGUCACGUUGGAGUAGGGUUGUACUGUGGUUAUGGUACUGACACAGGUCACGUUGGAGUAGGGUUGUACUGUGGUUAUGGUACUGACAGGUCACAUUGGAGUAGGGUUGUACUGUGGUUAUGGUACUGACAGGUCACAUUGGAGUAGCGUUGUACUGUGGUUAUGGUGCUGACAGGUCACAUUGGAGUAGGGUUGUACUGUGGUUAUGGUGCUGACAUAGGUUACAUUGGAGUAGGGUUGAACUGUGGUUAUGGUACUGACAUAGGUUACGUUGGAGUAGGGUUGUAUUGUGGUUAUGGUGCUGACAUAGGUUAUGUUGGAGUAGGGUUGUACUGUGGUUAUGGUGCUGACAUAGGUUACGUUGGAGUAGGGUUGAACUGUGGUUAUGGUACUGACAUAGGUUACGUUGGAGUAGGGUUGUAUUGUGGUUAUGGUGCUGACAAAAGUCACGUUGGAGUAGGGUUGUACUGUGGUUAUAGUACUGACAUAGGUUACGUUGGAGUAGGGUUGAACUGUGGUUAUGGUACUGACAUAGGUUACGUUGGAGUCACGUUGGAGUAGGGUUGUACUGUGGUUAUGGUACUGACACAGGUCACGUUGGAGUAGGGUUGUACUGUGGUUAUGGUACUGACAUAGGUCACGUUGGGGUCACGUUGGAGUAGGGUUGUACUGUGGUUAUGGUACUGACACAGGUCACAUUGGAGUAGGGUUGUACUGUGGUUAUAGUACUGACACAGGUCACGUUGGAGUAGGGUUGUACUGUGGUUAUAGUACUGACAUAGGUCACGUUGGAGUAGGGUUGUACUGUGGUUAUAGUACUGACACAGGUCACGUUGGAGUAGGGUUGUACUGUGGUUAUAGUACUGACACAGGUCACGUUGGAGUAGGGUUGUACUGUGGUUAUAGUACUGAUGUAGGUCACGUUGGAGUAGGGUUCUACUGUGGUUAUGGUACUGAUGUAGGUCACGUUGGAGUAGGGUUGUACUGUGUUUAUGGUACUGACACAGGUCACGUUGGAGUAGGGUUGUACUGUGGUUAUGGUACUGACACAGGUCACGUUGGAGUAGGGUUGUACUGUGGUUAUGGUACUGACAGGUCACAUUGGAGUAGUGUUGUACUGUGGUUAUGGUACUGACAGGUCACAUUGGAGUAGCGUUGUACUGUGGUCAUGGUGCUGACACAGGUCACGUUGGAGUAGGGUUGUGGGGUGGUCAUGGUGCUGACACAGGUCAGUAUCAGAGUUCCCAAGUUCUCUGGAAUUCCUGGUUGGAGGAUUCCAGAUUUCCUCCUUAAUUCCUUCUCUGAUUCCAACCAGAAUAUCUCAAAAACGUGGUAAUUUUGUAAAGUUACUAGAAUGC